UUGGGGCACAGCGGGCGGCCCGGCGGUGGGGGCGCGGCCGUGGAGGGCCGGGGUGGCGGAGCCGCUCUGCGCUCCCUCCGGGUCGGCGGCUCCGGCCUGUGCUCAGCGGGCCCCGGUGACGCCUCCGCCCAGGACCUCCUUCCCCGCCCCUCUCCCUGCCUAGUCCCCCUGACCCCAUCCCCCCAGCUUUUGUGGCUGCUGCACCAGCUAUCGGUCUUCUCCCCCAAGCAGGGCUGGGGCUUCGGAGACCUGGCGAGGGGGGCACCGUGUCAGCUUGAAAAAAAAACGCUGCCGUUAUUUUAUCUCACGAGGAGUUGAUUCACGAUUUGCCUAGAGAAUUACAACACGGAACCUGGGAACUGCUGUGAACCAUGGGAAAGGCCGAGAACCCCGGAGAAACUGCUUUUAUAGGGAAAGGGGAAGGGCGGGGCUGUUCUAAAAGAAAAUCCAUUGGGGGAAAGCAGCAGUUCGGGAGGAAAAUGCCUCUCAUUGGCAGAGCUGUGGGGCUUCUCAUUGGCUGAGCAGUGGCGUUUCUCUUUGGCUGAGCUCUGGUGUUUGUCAUAGGCUGAGCUGUGGCAUUUCUCAUUGGCAGAGCUGUGGGGCUUCUCAUUGGCUGAACUAGGGAGUUUCUCAUUGGCUGAGCUCUGGUGUUUCUCAUUGGCUGAGCUGCCCUGUGUCUCAUUGGCUGAGCUGCGGCGUUUCUCAAUGGCUGGGUCAUGGCAUUUCUCAUUGGCUGGGCCAUGGCAUUUCUCAUUGGCUGAGCUGUGGUGCUUCCCAUUGGCUGGGCUGUUGCUAGGUGGGAGAGAAGUCUUCCUGAGUAGUAGAGUGGCUGUGCUUCCUGCGGGAGAUGAGAGCGCCCCACUUCCUGUUUGGAGUAAGAGAGGCCGCGGGAUGGAGAGAGAGCUCCCCCUGCAAGUCUUCCGCAUCCAGUUACUUCCGGUUUCUGUUACCUAUUUCCGGCUGUUCUGAGGCGUCUGAUAGUGAACGAUUUUUAGGCUUCCAGCGCACGGCCGUGGAGGCGCCUGGGGGAACUGAAGGGCAGGUGUGUGUGCGCGGGACGUCUUGGCGCUGGCUCUUCAUCCUCCUCACGGCGGUGGGACUCCCCUGGAGAAGCGGUUCGUGGCCGUCCCUCCUUGGAGGAAGUGCUGGUUUGGGUUGGACGGGGGAUUCUGGGAGGGCGUCUUCCUGCGUCUGUGGGUUCCGUUUGCGUCCGGCUCACGUCGUCCGCGAGCCCAGCGGCGUGUUUGGGGCCGCGCGUCCUCGUGCCUCACGGUCGUCCCGCUGCCUGUUUCCUGGGACGCGUCCUGCAGAGUGGGUCGUGCGCAGGGACGCGCUGCCUCGGGUGGGGCGGGGGUCAAGGGUGCCGCGCGUCCCGCCAGGGUGUGGGCGGGGGUCCCCGGAGCCCAGCGGCAGGCCCCGGGUCUCCCUGGUGACCAGCGCGGUCGGGGUCCUCUGUGUGUCGGCGGGUUCUCUGGGGGUUCGUCUGUGUGUCUGGGGCCGUGGGGAUCGCCCCUGGCACUCGGUGGAGCGCUUUGCGUGUGGUAGGUGUAGCUCUGAGUGGUCCGCACAGAGCUGUCCUGGGACUUUUCGAGUUGCCGAGUGAGAGCCGGCCCGUGCCCUCCUGCGACAGCGUCCCGCGUGGGCCCCUGCGGCCUCUCUCUCCCUCCCGCCUCCCUGGGGGUCGCGGGGCCGGGCCCUGCCUGUCGGCGUGUGCCCACCCUGGAGAGUGUCCGUCCCCUCUCCGCGCAGGCUGAGCACACCGCGGGCUGGGAGGGCAGCCGGGUGGAGACGCACCUGUGGGUUCCGGAGCGCUUGCACCUUCUUCUGUGUCCUCACGACAUCUUUCUCCGUGAGUGUCACGUUUGUGGGUGAACAGAUGGAGAAAUGCAGCUCCGAGGGCCCGGGGUCACUCGGCCUGGAGUGGCCAAGCCUGACCGGAACCCAUCGUCUGGGGAAGCGCUGGGCUCUUGUCGUUCAGUGUGGCCCCCUUUGGUUCCCUGGCACGGGAGUCAUGCUGUCCGGCGCAUGGCAUUCGAUCCUGUGGUGGUGAUAAGUGUCCCUUGGGUCUGAGCUGGGUCCACUGAGGUGCAGGACACAGGGAUUCCCCCUUUCCCAGGUGGGUGGGCCCUGCAGGGGAGGGCCCUGACGAGGAGGGGCCAGCCCGGGUCACCCUGGGCCCCCAGCCCUGCACCUGCCUCUUGCCUGCCUGUAGCGGCGUCUCCAUGAGGGGCAGUUCCAGGGGAGGACCCGGGGAGAGCGGGAGAAGCCAUCUGUGCUACAGCCAAUGUCCCUGAGCAGUUUGAGGGAGUGGACGGGACAGAGCAUCAGUUGGACUCACAGGACCUUCUUUGGAGCAGGAUGCUGUCUUGGCUGCUUCGUUUCGGAGCAUCUGUUUCAGUCCCCACAGCUCUUAUUUCCUCGUCCUCCAGGUGAGCUGGCAUCUGCUGGGCAGGUGUGCCAGGUGGGCCUGCCUGGGAGUCCAGGGCUCCUUCAGCCAUGAGGCCAGGUGACGCAUCCGUGUCAUGAGGGGCUGGCACACCUGUCCCCUUUCACAGACGAGGACGAGGUGCAGGGGAGGUGAGGUGACAGUGUAGGGGCUGGUCCCUCCCUUUGCCGGGCUCAGAGCCGUGAGGCUCCACGUGGAAUGGAAGGGAGUCAGGGCCUCCCUCUGGCACCACUGGGAUGGUUCCCUGUGGGCCAUCCUCACAGCUCCCCCACCCCCACAGUCCUCUGCUCCCCUCCACCCAGCACAUGUGCAGAGAGAGGGGCUGAGGCUGUGCACACACCUCGAGGAGGCCCCGGGCCAGCACGAGCAUCGCUGGGGCCCCAGCCCAACUGCUGACCCUUGUUUUCACACACCGUCUGGGGUCUCUGAUCCUGCCACGUUCAGGACACUGGCCCAGAGGCUCAUGGUCCCGCCUCACAGGCAGGAGCACAGGAGCCCCUCCUGUCUCCUCUCCUCUGUGUGUGAAGAUCCGGGAGCCUGGACGGGUCCUUGGUUCUGAGCCGAGCACGGCCAAGUCCUUCCUCAUCCCUUGAUCGGGAAGCUGCAGCUUCUGUGGCUCCAGAGGGGGCCCCCGAGGGGGCAGUGCCACUUUGUCGGCGGGCUGACCAGCAGAUCCAGGGCUUACAUUCAUGGGGGUGGCUCCGUGCUCCGCGGGCAGAACUCAGCUACUCCUGCGCCUUCAUACCGAGUCUGAGGCGUUUGAGAAAAUUCCAGGCCGCCACUGCCAAGACAGGCGUGUUGUUGACUGCCCAGGGAGCAUGGCCAACCGGAAAGAGCAUGAGGUCACUUCCUGGCAGAGGGGACACUUUCAAAGUCUGUGACAGCCUGGAGGCCUGGGCCUGAAAAGCAGGGGUGGGGAGGGCACGAGGAAAGGAAGGAAGUUGGUAGAAGACUGGUCAGUCAGGUGUGGCCACAGGAGGAGACACGAGGAGCUCAGGACACAAACACGGUGUACCAUACGCACAAGUCCUGCAGAAGGAGGCCCAGCAGGCAGGACCACGAGGGGAGGCCCAGGGCAGUGAGGAGGCAGAAGACGGGAAUUGACUAGCCCCCAGAAGGGAGUCUGUCCCCACUGGAAAGGUUUUUUUAGGAUGUCAAAACGUCAUAAAGAAAGCUGAGGAAUAUUUACAGAAGAAGAGGGCCUGGCCUACUGGGUGCAGAGCUCAGAGCAGCGGCCUGGUGAGCUCUGGCCUGGCACUCGGCAGAGCCCUGAGGGCCUGGAGAAGAGGCCCGGGUCCCGGGGACCCUGGGAAAUGGGCAGGCAGCCUGAGGCCGAGGCGCUGACGGUGGUAAGAGCAUGCACAGCAAGUGCUCGGGAGCACGUGGGGCUCUGUGCCUCCUCGGCUGCUGGCUCUGGGGCAGGACACUGGGUGGCCCUGGGCCUCAGCCGCUCAUCUGUAGAAGGGACGUAUUAACAGUGUUUGCCUCCUAAGUUUUGUUUCCUUUGGGGUCAGGAUGAGUUAGCAGAUGAGAGAUGUUUGACGGGCGGCUUGGCAUUAGAAAGAGCUCAGUUGAUGCUGCAGAGUGACUGGCCGUGUCGUGUGUCCGGUUGAGGGAGGCCCCUUCUCUGCUGGCCCGAGGUGUCCCGGGGCAGGUGUGUGUCUCGGCCUCUCCCAAGCCCCGUCUCCCUCUUUUCCAGCAGCUCUUCUUCUGUCUGGGUUCAUCAGCCUUGACUCCUGAUCAGCCAGGAGCCUGGAGCCCGCAGGGGAUCCAUGGGCCUUGUGGCUUCCCUGGGCUUGAGCUGGGGCGGGCAGUCUUUUCUUGGUGUAGGUCGUGUGGAAAGUGUCAUCCUGUGACUGAGCCGAUGCCUGUGACCCGCUGGGCUAUGAAGGUCUGGCUGCUGUGCCCCUGCCAUGUAGCUGCUGUGUCCGGAGGAGACAGAACCCGCUCAGAGAGGAGCCCUGGCCUGGUUGUGGGCCCAUCACCCGGGGUGGACGAGUGUCCGUUCUGCAUCCCACUUUGUGCAUACUGUGUGCUCCCCUUCGCUCGUGCAGACGUGCUCUCCCCUCUCCUGCAGCCCCUGGACACAGUGGGGCCUGUUGGACCCUCUGGGUGCUGUGUUUCUACACAGAGCUCCUACUUGGAGCCUUAGGGAGCCCCGCUGGCCUAGGAGCCAGUCUGCCCCUGGGUUCCGUCCUGCCCCUUGGGCCAGCCUUCUGAUUCCAGACAGGUGCUCUGGGCUUCCAGGGGGGCCCCGUGGGCUCUGUGGCCAUGGGCGGUGGGGCCCCACUGCGUCCACUCUCUGGGUGGGGUCUUGAGGGCGUGGCCGGUCCAGCGUGAGCACUCUGGCUCCUGUGUCCGUCCCCUGCACAGGGCGCCGCCCUGCCCAUUCUGUGUCUCCUUCUCUCCUCCUUCGUGCUGGAAAGUUGCAGAAAACGAGUCCCCUCUGUUCUCAGAUGGGCGCCUUGCGUGUCAGGCCGCAGACUCAGGUCCAGAGAGGUGGGUGGGUGGGGUGGGCCUGGAGGAGGACAGGCCUGCUGAGGGAUGCAGGGGAGGAGUAUCACAUGGCCAGAGAGCUCAGCCGGACUGCGCGGAGGCCACCCUGAGGCGGAGGUGGGAGCGUGUCUGCAGGGGCUCUGGGGCAGGGGCAUGGGGAGGUGGAGGUGGUGAGGGGACAUACGUGCCUGACGCCAUGGCAGAGAGACCCUGGAGCAGGGGCACCCGGAGCACGUAGUCCACCCUGUCUCUGGGGACUGUGCUGCUGAGCCCCUGCCCCCAGCAGAGGGAGCCCUGUGCCUCGACGUGGCACAGCCGCAGAGCUGUGACUGGGGUUUCUCUGUGGCGGGAUCAUCCCUCUGUGCAGACCUCCGCGGUUUCCUCUGAACCAGCUCUCCUCUGAGUCUGGCAUCCGGAUCGUUGCAGACGUGGGGGCUGCUCAGCAGAGGGCGGCAGAGCUGCAUGCUCUUCAUGCCGAGCCCGGAUUUGCAGAGGCCAGGCCAGCCCUCAGGCCUGCCUCAGGACACAGGGACAUGAGGAUACGGGGACAGAACCGAGCGCUUUCCAGGGGCUGUCUUCAGGGACUGCUUGUGAAGCUCCCCCUUCAAGACUGUCCCCACUUUUCUGCAGCUGUGAGGUCGGGGGUCGAACAGAACCCACUGAGAAGCCUUCUUUUCUCCACCCCACCCCUCCGUGUAAAACAGGAACAGAGGAAGUGUGAGUGACCUGGAGAGGGCGUUCCUGCUCCCAGGGGCCAGUCCCAGCUCAGGGUCCCUCCUUGUCUGUAGUUGUGUGUGGGGGCGUUCCUGCUCCCAGGGGCCAGUCCCAGCUCAGGGUCCCUCCUUCUCUGCAGCUGCAUGUGGGGGCUUUGGCCUUGGGGCUGUUUCGGUUCCUCCUGGCCUUCCUGCCUCCCUGAGGACAGCUGGCCUGGGGCUCUGGUGGGGCUUCCAUGGCCAGUGACACUUACCCUGUUUGGGAGCCGAGACCUCUUUCUUUGGCGUGGUGUGUGUUGCCCGCCCGGGAGAGCUGGCCGUGUCUGUGGUUGCAGGCUGCUGGCUGUGGGCAGGAGAGUGGGUGGGACAGGCCUGCGUGCAGAGCUGACCUUGGACCUCGAUCUCUUCACUGUGUUUGGCUUUCCAGAUUCCCGUCCUCACACCCCGAGGUUACCUGGUGAGUGAUUGUAGGGGUCCCCGUGGGGGGCCUUUUCAGGCCAGUGAACCGGGAGGGUCUCUGGGACAUUGGCCGGUGUUGGCGCUGAGGCUUGGCUGUGCCCAGCGAGUCUUGAGAGCCAGGACCGUUUCAGUCCUGACUCACCUGGGAGGGAAGCAGUUCCGACCGGCGCCACUGUCCUUGCUGGCUGGAGGCAGGCCAGGCUUGUCUCUGUUUGGCCUUGAAGCUGCAGACAGUGAGAGGUAAAAAGAGUGGGGCAACCCUGUCACUCUGGGUCCACGGUGACCAGACCGUCCAGGCGCCCUGCUGUGUGGGCAGCUGGAGAGGCCAGGGCUUCCCGGGGCUGUGGCAAGGCCAGGACAGGGCCCAGGGGUGGGAGCCCCUGGACAGACAGUGCCGCUCGCUCUCCUACCCUGUGGUCCCUGUGCCGGUUCCCUGACCCCUUUGCCCCUCCUGGGCCUGCGCUGCGUGGGGCAGCGAGGCCCCAUGACGGGCUUGUUGGAUGAAUGAACAGAGGAAACCAGGAGGCGAGCAGCGUCCGUGGUUCUGCAGAGCUGCAUCUAAAGUGUCUUCUGAGAUUCCUUCCCGUUGAUCUGUGGGCGUUUCUGGAAUGCUGUCAGUCUUGUGUCCUCAUGCAUGGUGACCCUUUCCAGCUGACGGGGGCCAGUGGGUGUAGCAGGGACAGGCAGAGCUGCAGGUGUUUGUUGCCUGUACACUCUGCAUAGGACACCCAGAGGAGGCUAUUGUACGAGGACUUUCAUAAGGGACGGAGUGUAUCUCACAAACUGCUGGUGGGAAUGCGCACUGGUACAGCCACUAUGGAAAACAGUAUGGAGAUUCCUCAAAAA